UCCCAUGUGGUCUAGUGGUUAGGAAUAUUGGCUUUCACCCAGGUGGCCCGGGUUUCAAUUCCCGGCUUGGGAG